GUCUAAGGCCAUAUCUCCCUGAACACACCCAAUCUCAUCUGGUCUCAGAAACUAAACAGGAUCAGGCCUGGUUAGUACUUGGAUGGGAGAAAGAUCUUCAGAAGAGACUGCCCAGAGACAAGCAGUUUGGAGA
rnacentral:rRNA from 1 species